rnacentral:misc_RNA from 1 species
UUUCCGUAGGUGAACCUGCGGAAGGAUCAUUACAGAGUUCGUGCCCUCACGGGUAGAUCUCCCACCCUUGAAUAUUUAUACCUUAGUUGCCUUGGCAGGCCGUGGAAACACCAUGGGCUCCGGCUUAUGCGUGCCUGCCAGAGGAAACAAACUCUGUUUUUAGUGAUGUCUGAGUACUAUAUAAUAGUUAAAACUUUCAACAACGGAUCUCUUGGUUCUG